UACGAAGGGGGCUAGCGUUGCUCGGAAUCACUGGGCGUAAAGCGCACGUAGGCGGCUUUUUAAGUCAGGGGUGAAAUCCUGGAGCUCAACUCCAGAACUGCCUUUGAUACUGAGGAUCUUGAGUUCGGGAGAGGUGAGUGGAACUGCGAGUGUAGAGGUGAAAUUCGUAGAUAUCGCAAGAACACCAGUGGCGAAGGCGGCUCACUGGCCCGAUACUGACGCUGAGGCACGAAAGCGUGGGGAGCAAACAGG
rnacentral:rRNA from 1 species